GACGAACCGUGCGACCGUUAUUCGGAAUCACUGGGCUUAAAGCGCGUGUAGGCGGGCCAUCACGUCGGUCGUUGAAAGCCCCCGGCUCAACCGGGGAACCGGCGCCGAUACGAGUGGCCUGGAGGGGGGUAGGGGGACCUGGAACUUCCGGUGGAGCGGUGAAAUGCGUUGAGAUCGGAAGGAACGCCCGUGGCGAAAGCGAGGUCCUGGACCCCAUCUGACGCUGAGACGCGAAAGCCAGGGGAGCGAACGGG
rnacentral:rRNA from 1 species